GCAUGCAUAGUGUAAUGGUUUGAGCAUUGGACUAUGACUCUAGACACCAGGGUUCAAAUCCCUGCUUGGCCA
rnacentral:tRNA from 1 species